rnacentral:rRNA from 1 species
UAUUCGGAGAGUUUGAUCCUGGCUCAGGACGAACGCUGGCGGCGUGCUUAACACAUGCAAGUUGUGCGAGAAAGUUACCUUCGGGUAACAAGUAAAGCAGCGAACGGGUGAGUAACGCGUAAGUAUCUACCUUUAAGUCUGGGAUAACUCUUCGAAAGAGGGGCUAAUACCAGAUAUACUCCUUUGGAGGAAAGAUGGUAUUACUAUUGCUUAAAGAUGAGCUUGCGUCCCAUUAGCUAGUUGGUGAGAUAACAGCUCACCAAGGCAACGAUGGGUAGCCGACCUGAGAGGGUGAUCGGCCACACUGGGACUGAGACACGGCCCAGACUCCUACGGGAGGGCUGCAGUGGGGAAUCUUCCGCAAUGGGCGAAAGCCUGACGGAGCAACGCCGCGUGAGUGAUGAAGGCCUUAGGGUCGUAAAGCUCUGUCUUUAGGGAAGAACACUUUAGUAGUGAAUAACUGCUAGAAUUGACGGUACCUUUAAAGGAAGCCCCGGCUAAUUACGUGCCAGCAGCCGCGGUAACACGUAAGGGGCUAGCGUUGUCCGGAAUUACUGGGCGUAAAGGGUACGCAGGCGGUCUAGCAAGUCAGAGGUGAAAUCCAUUGGCUUAACCAAUGAAGUGCCUUUGAAACUGUUAGACUUGAGAGCAAGAGAGGAAGAUGGAAUUCCUGGUGUAGUGGUGAAAUACGUAGAUAUCAGGAAGAAUACCAAUGGCGAAAGCAGUCUUCUGGCUUGACUCUGACGCUGAGGUACGAAAGCUAGGGUAUCAAACGGGAUUAGAUACCCCGGUAGUCCUAGCUGUAAACGCUGGAUACUAGGUGUUGGAGGUUCAACUCCUUCGGUGCCGUAGUUAACGCUUUAAGCAUCCCACCUGGGGAGUACGCCGGCAACGGUGAAACUCAAAGGAAUUGACGGGGGCCCGCACAAGCGGAGGAACAUGUGGUUUAAUUCGAUGAUACGCGAAGAACCUUACCAGAACUUGACAUCCCUGUGAUCGUUCUUUAACAAGAACUUUUCCUUUUGGAACACAGAUGACAGGUGGUGCAUGGCUGUCGUCAGCUCGUGUCGUGAGAUGUUGGGUUAAGUCCCGCAACGAGCGUAACCCCUAUUCUUAGUUGCCAGCAUGUAGUGAUGGGGACUCUAAGAAGACUGCCGCGGGAGCAACGCGGAGGAAGGUGGGGAUGACGUCAAGUCAUCAUGCCCCUUAUGUUCUGGGCUACACACGUGCUACAAUGGUUUAUACAGAGGGGAGCGAAGCCGCAAGGUGGAGCAAAUCCCCAAAAGUAGACCUCAGUUCGGAUUGCAGAUUGCAACUCAUCUGCAUGAAGCUGGAGUCGCUAGUAAUCGUGGAUCAGAAUGCCACGGUGAAUCCGUUCUCGGGCCUUGUACACACCGCCCGUCACACCACCCGAGUUGGGGGCACCAGAAGUCACUGACCUAACUUUUAGAAGGAAGUGCCGAAGGUGUGCCCGAUAAGGGGGGUGAAGUCGUAACAAGGUAGCCGUACCGGAAGGUGCGGCUGGAUCACCUCCUUU